GACUGCCGGUGACAAACCGGAGGAAGGUGGGGAUGACGUCAAAUCAUCAUGCCCCUUAUGAUUUGGGCUACACACGUGCUACAAUGGACAGGUUACAAAGGGCAGCUAAGCCGCGAGGCCAAGCGAAUCCCAUAAAACUGUUCUCAGUUCGGAUUGGAGUCUGCAACUCGACUCCAUGAAGCUGGAAUCGCUAGUAAUCGUGGAUCAGAAUGCCACGGUGAAUACGUUCCCGGGUCUUGUACACACCGCCCGUCACACCACGAAAGUCGGUAACACCUGAAGCCGGUGGGCCAACCUCUUGGAGGCAGCCGUCGAAGGUGGGACCGAUGAUUGGGGUGAAGUCGUAACAAGGUAGCCGUAUCGGAAGGUGCGGCUGGAU
rnacentral:rRNA from 1 species